CUUUAUGAUCGUGGUGCUGCUGUUGAUCCUGUACCGGAAGGUUCCUCUCUGCUGCAAAAUGAGGGUUUAUCAGGAAUCUCGUACUGACAUGGAAUCUCCUCCUCAGUACUACAACAGCAGACAGACUCUCGUAGCGUCAUCUGAUGCUGAGCAAACACAUGACACCGGUCUUGAUAACGUGAAUGCACGGUCGGGCUCGUUGUUCCUCAUUGGUGUCCCGAGCAGCUACUACCUUUCCUCACUGGAGCCUCCUCUUCCUCAUCUGCCCUCGUACGAGAGCGUCCGCAAGAAAGACCGACAGCGGCAGAUCCACAUGAUGAUAGCCGACCGCUUUGGCCUGAACGGACCUGUUGAGACAGAGCCGCCUCCCACAUAUGAGGAGAGCAUUCGUGAAUCCGUCCAGUCCAUUGACGUCCCGUUUGACAUCCUGGCACCCGAGGAGGAGCAGCCACACACACCGGUUACAGAUUUACCUGCAUAUGAAGAUCUACCUCAAAUCACAGACUCACAAGAUCCCAAUAACACUGUUAACUAAAGCGCAAGAAUGCAAUCUGUCCUUAGCAGGAAAUCAACAGCCGUUGAGCUGUGACUACCCUGACGAGCAGCCGACGUGUGCGUGAAUCCGCUGUGCUUGCAAAAGACGCCAAAAUAGGGUAGGACUUGACCUAUGCAAUAACUUGCACUAGCACAAUACGAGAGGAGAAGGAUGUUGCAUCACUACUGGAAAAAGGGAAGAGAAGAACAAGAAUAUGCAAGAGUUUAAGUUCUGUCUCUGUUAAAAAUGACAUGAAACUGCUACUAUAUAGAAUUAUACUGACUGUAGAUAUUGCCAUGACUUUUCCAAGCCU
rnacentral:lncRNA from 1 species